rnacentral:rRNA from 1 species
GACGAACGCUGGCGGCGUGCCUAAUACAUGCAAGUCGAGCGAAGAUUCUCUGGUGCUUGUACCGGAAAAAUUUCGCCGCGAACGGGUGUGUAACAUGUAUAAAACAUGUAUAAUAGUCUGGGAACAUUAUUGGAAACGAGCGAUAAUACCGGAUAAUAGUAUACACUACAUGUUUGAUGUUUAAAAGUUGGUUUUGCUAACAUUAUGAGAUGGCUUUGCGGUGUAUUAGCUAGUUGGUGGGGUAAAGGCCUACCAAGGCAACGAUGCAUAGCCGACCUGAGAGGGUGAUCGGCCACACUGGCACUGAGACACGGCCCAGACUCCUACGGGAGGCAGCAGUAGGGAAUCUUCCGCAAUGGGCGAAAGCCUGACGGAGCAACGCCGCGUGAGUGAAGAAGGUCUUCGGAUCGUAAAACUCUGUUAUUAGGGAAGAAUAAUUGUGUAAGAACCUAUGACCGUAUUGACGGUACCUAACCAGAAAGCCACGGCUAACUACGUG